rnacentral:lncRNA from 1 species
AGGCUCCAAAAGCUUGUUACUUGCUUGUAGUCAAACAGAAGGCAGAGCUGCGAAUCAAAUCCAGGUUUGUCUCGACAUGCCACUAGCUCAUACUUUCCUUGGAUCAGCCACUAAAUGGCUUUCACUCCAGUGAGCAGCGACCAGCACCAGAAUUAUGGAACAUUUAUCAACAGCCUAAAAUAAAGACAACACGAGGAGAAUUUGGUUGCUUAUAUAGAUUCAAGGUACAAUCCUGCUGGAUUCUGGGAUUACAGGACUGUAGACAAAAGAGAAAUCAUCAUGGACUGUUCACUGGACAAAAUUUCAUGGAGAAGACCUUUGGCGGUUCAUGGAUGUUCUAUAAUAAAAGAAAUAUCACAGUGUGCAUGCACAGAAGUACGACCAUGUGAAGAGGCAGCAAGAGAGCAGCAAUCUACAAGCCAAGGAAAGGGGCCACAGAGGAAACCAACCCUGCCAGCAUCUUGAUCUUGGACUUCCAGCUUCCAGAACUAACCAGGGACCGCACUCCCAUGCCGACAGUAUGGGCUGCUGUCUUCAGGACCAUUGCAAGUGUCCUUCACGGUUCGGUUCACAUUUCACAAGCCCCAUGAAGUCUAUCUGGAUUUUUGGUAAUGUUUCCUGUCUCUGAAAUCUUAUGACAUUUAUGUUUGUAUCAGCCAUUUGACGCUUGAUUAUCUAUUUUUCAGAUGGAUGUCUUGCCUUUUCCUCUACACACUACAGGAAGAGUGGCCACCCCUGCCAAGGGCCUAGUGUAGUACCCUAUACAUGUAGCUGAUCAGUUGAUUGUUACUGAUCAUAUGUAUCCUGCAUCAUGUUAUAAAAAAUUAACACAGUGCUUGGCACAUACUUGUACUGAAUGUCAGAGCUGCAGCAUGAUCUGGAGGCUUUCCUCGCUUUCUUCCGCUUCCCCUCCCUUGAUCCUUCACAGGCAUUUUCCUCAAUACAUCUCUUGCCUGGCUAA